CUUUAACUCUGGCGGCAUGCUUUACACAUGCAAGUCGAACGGCAACGAGGAGAAGCUUGCUUCUCUGUCGGCGAGUGGCGAACGGGUGAGUUUAGCAUCGGAACGUGCCAAGUAGUGGGGGAUAACCAAACGAAAGUUUGGCUAAUACCGCGUAAGCUCCAAGGAGGAAAGUAGGGGACCUAAAUAAGGCCUUACGCUAUUUGAUCGGCCGAUGUCGGAUUAGCUAGUUGGUGGGGUAAUGGCUCACCAAGGCAAUGAUCCGUAGCGGGUCUGGGAGGACGAUCCGCCACACUGGGACUGAGACACGGCCCAGACUCCUACGGGAGGCAGCAGUGGGGAAUUUUGGACAAUGGGGGAAACCCUGAUCCAGCCAUGCCGCGUGUAUGAAGAAGGCCUUAGGGUUGUAAAGUACUUUUGUUAGGGAAGAAAAGCUAGUUUUUAAUAAAAAUUAGUGAUGACGGUACCUAAAGAAUAAGCACCGGCUAACUACGUG
rnacentral:rRNA from 1 species